rfam:Podospora anserina genomic DNA, chromosome 5.
GCCCGGCUAGCGCAAUGGUAGCGCGUAAGACUUCUAAUCUUAAGGCUGUGGGUUCGAGUCCCACGUCGGGUG